rnacentral:piRNA from 1 species
UGGCAAAGAGAAAAAGGGUGCUGAAGCAUU